rnacentral:tRNA from 1 species
GCCCAGGUCGCCUAAUCCGGUAGGGCGCCAGCCUGGAGAGCUGGUGGGGCUUUGCCCCUUCAGGGUUCAAAUCCCUGCCUGGGCGCCA